rnacentral:rRNA from 1 species
UACGUAGGUGGCGAGCGUUGUCCGGAUUUACUGGGCGUAAAGAGCGCGCAGGCGGUCGUUCAAGUCGCGUGUGAAAGCCCCCGGCUCAACUGGGGAGGGUCACGCGAUACUGAUCGACUCGAAGGCAGGAGAGGGAAGUGGAAUUCCGGGUGUAGUGGUGAAAUGCGUAGAUAUCCGGAGGAACACCAGUGGCGAAGGCGACUUCCUGGCCUGUUCUUGACGCUGAGGCGCGAAAGCUGGGGGGGCAAACGGG